UUGAACCCGGGAGGUGGAGGUUGCAGUGUGCCAAGAUUGUGCCACUGUACUCCAGCCCGGGCGACAGUGCGAGACUGCAUUUCAAAAAAAAAAAGGUAAAUUCUAGAAAUGCUCCUGUUUCUGAGCAUCCAGUACAAUGAUAAGGCAAUCACUACCUCCAAGGUCCCCACUUCCCAUAUCCCUCCCCCACUGCACUCCCAUCCCACUUCCAGGUGGCUAUGACUGAGCAACUAUUAGACCUAAUUAAUCAUGGGUCCAGGUGAGUUUUGCCCACUUGUUGUUCACAGAUGUCUCCAAACUACACAAUCUCAGAGUGGGUAAAAACCCCAGGGCCAUAGGGCUUUUUUUAAUCUUUUCUGGAUCCAGACCUCUCCCCUUUAUAUUUUAAUUUCAUUUCAUUUUUGAACAUGUAUUACCUAAUACAUGUUCCUGAUACAACGCUGAAAAACAACGGAUGUCUCCCUUCUUCCCUAUUGGAGGCAGCCACAGUCAUCAGUUUCCUAGUGAGAUACAAGCAAAUACAUAUGUAAUUUUGUUUGUUUGUUUGUUUUUUUAAGAAACUGGGUCUAGGCUGGCCUAGAACUCCUGGGCUCAAGUGAUCCUUGGCCUCAGCCUCCAAAGUAGCUGGAGCUACAGGAGCAUGCCACCAUGCUCCACUUCAGACACAAGUGGUGUUUCCAUACAGGGUCAGUUAAAAACAACAAAAAACACUGAUGGUGAUGAGACAUGAAUACUAAUAGGUGGUCACAUGAGAAUAGAAAAUUGCAGGCUAGGUGUGGUGGCUCACACAUGUAAUUCCAACGCUUUGGGAGGCCAAGGAAGGAGGACCUCUUGAGGCCAGAAGUCCAAGACCAGCCUGGGCAACAUAGUGAAACUCCGUUUCUACAAAAAAAUACAAAUAUUGGCCAGGCGUGGUGGCUCACACCUGU
rnacentral:lncRNA from 1 species